ACUCAAAUGAAUAGACGGGGAGUCGCACAAGCAGUGGAGUAUGUGGUUUAAUUCGAUGAUACGCGAAGAACCUUACCGGGGCUUGACAUCCUGGGAAUCCCUUGGAAACAAGGGAGUGCCUUCGGGAGCCCAGUGACAGGUGUUGCAUGGCCGUCGUCAGCUCGUGUCGUGAGAUGUUGGGUUAAGUCCCGCAACGAGCGCAACCCUUAUCGUCUGUUGUAUUUUUCAGGCGAGACUGCCCGGGCCAACCGGGAGGAAGGUGGGGAUGAUGUCAGGUCAGCAUGGCCCAUACGCCCCGGGCCACACACGUACUACAAUGGCCGGUACAACGGGCUGCCAAGCCGCAAGGUGGAGCAAAUCCUAUUAAAACCGGUCUCAGUUCGGAUUGGAGGCUGCAACUCGCCUCCAUGAAGCCGGAAUUGCUAGUAACCGUGGGUCAGCAUACCGCGGUGAAUACGUUCCCGACUCUUGUACACACCGCCCGU
rnacentral:rRNA from 1 species